rnacentral:rRNA from 1 species
AUUGAACGCUGGCGGCAGGCCUAACACAUGCAAGUCGAGCGGCAGCGGGAAAGUAGCUUGCUACUUUUGCCGGCGAGCGGCGGACGGGUGAGUAAUGCCUGGGAAAUUGCCCAGUCGAGGGGGAUAACAGUUGGAAACGACUGCUAAUACCGCAUACGCCCUACGGGGAAAGCAGGGACCGUUCGGGCCGUUGCGCGAUUGGAUAUGCCCAGGUGGGAUUAGCUUGUUGGUGAGGUAAUGGCUCACCAAGGCGACGAUCCCUAGCUGGUCUGAGAGGAUGAUCAGCCACACUGGAACUGAGACACGGUCCAGACUCCUACGGGAGGCAGCAGUGGGGAAUAUUGCACAAUGGGGGAAACCCUGAUGCAGCCAUGCCGCGUGUGUGAAGAAGGCCUCGGUUGGUAAGACGACUUUCUAGCGAGGAGGAAAGGUUAGGA